GAAUUGUUUGUUAUCUUUAAUUCCAGCUCUGUCCCUGGCAAUGCAACGAGAUGGCUCGAGUGGUGGUGUUAUCUAUCUUGUAACAACCACCAAGGAAGGAAAUAAAGAAGUCAUCAUAACUGGUGACAACAUUCCACGCUUCUAUGACCUGUAACUGUGCAACUGCUUUAUGGUUCGCACAAUCAUCAAUAACACAAAUCAAUACAGGUUUCCAUAAUAUGAAUGUGAACACAGAUCGAACAAUGAAGGAAGGGACUGGGACUGGGCAUGGAACUAAUGUAAUGCUCCAUGUCUCAGUGAACUGGUUGGCCUUCAUACGGGAUCCGGUAGGGCUCUGAAGAUAUCUUGAAGCCAUGCAUUGUUUGAAGACUGGAAUUACAAAACUCUGUAUCUCUAAUAUGUGUGUACACACACACACUGGUCUUUACUUAUUUCAAUACAUACCUUUAAAACUCUACCUGUGCUGACCUGUUUUUCUUUCUUAGUUUAUCUUUGAUAUACUUUAAGGGAAGGCAUAUUAAAGUUAAUAACUUCCAAAGUAAACAUAAUUUGCUGUAAGAUUGAAAAUUAAAACAAUUUUUAAAAUUA